rfam:Triticum aestivum genome assembly, contig: Triticum_aestivum_CS42_TGACv1_scaffold_576793_7BL
GUAGUACUCCCUCCGUCCGAAAAUACUUGUCGGAGAAAUGAGUAUAUCUAAACAUAUUUUAGUUCGAGAUACAUCCAUUUUUACCCAUUUCUCCUACAAGUAUAUCCGGACGGAGGGAGUACUCG